GGAUCGCAGGCUGCAACCCGCCUGCGUGAAGUUGGAAUCGCUAGUAAUCGCGGAUCAGCAUGCCGCGGUGAAUACGUUCCCGGGCCUCGUACACACCGCCCGUCACACCAUGAGAGUCGGGAACACCCGAAGUCCGUAGCCUAACCGCAAGGGGGGCGCGGCCGAAGGUGGGUUCGAUAAUUGGGGUGAAGUCGUAACAAGGUAGC
rnacentral:rRNA from 1 species